UGACUCAUGACCUACCAGCAGGACAGGCUUGGGGCUCUAAGAAGAUUGCUGACGCAAAUCUGUGAGACGUUCCCAUCAACCUGGUCAGGGAUCGGUGACCCAGUCUAAGUUGGCAGCCAAAGUCUCAGCCUGUGAGGGAAGCCGCCCGAAGAUUUACUGGCUUUCUGACAUGGAUGCUGCCUCUGCCUGUUGGUCUGCCUGUAAAGAGUGAAGACAACAGCUGGAAAUAUGUCUAUAAUCUGAU